GAAGCGGCAACAGCUCAAAUUUGAAAUCUGGCCCCCGGAGCCCGAGUUGUAAUUUGUAGAGGGUGCUUCGGGGGCGGCACCGGCCCAAGUUCCUUGGAACAGAACGUCACAGAGGGUGAGAAUCCCGAUGGGACCGGCCGUCGAUCCCGUGUGAGGCUCCUUCGACGAGUCGAGUUGUUUGGGAAUGCAGCUCUAAAUGGGAGGUAAAUUUCAUCUAAAGCUAAAUAUUGGCCAGAGACCGAUAGCGCACAAGUAGAGUGAUCGAAAGAUGAAAAGCACUUUGAAAAGAGAGUUAAAAAGUACGUGAAAUUGUUGAAAGGGAAGCGCUUGCACCAGACUUGCCUGCCAUGGAUCCUCGGGUCUUUCGCUUGGGGCACCCUUCUGUGGGCAGGCCAGCAUCGGUUUUGGCGGUUGUAUAAAGGUCUCGGGAAUGUACCCCCCUUCCGGGGGAGCUUUAAAGCCCGGGGCGCCAUGCACCCAGCCUGGACCGAGGUCCGCGCUUCGGCUAGGAUGCUGGCGUAAUGGCUGUAAGCGGCCCGUCUUGAAACACGGACCAAGGAGUCUAACAUCUAUGCGAGUGUUUGGGUGUCAAACCCAUGCGCGUAAUGAAAGUGAACGGAGGUGGGAACCCUGCACCAUCGACCGAUCCUUCUUCGGAUGGAUUUGAGUAAGAGCAUAGCUGUUGGGACCCGAAAGAUGGUGAACUAUGCCUGAAUAGGGUGAAGCCAGAGGAAACUCUGGUGGAGGCUCGCAGCGGUUCUGACGUGCAAAUCGAUCGUCAAAUUGGGUAUAGGGGCGAAAGCUAAUC
rnacentral:rRNA from 1 species